GUCUCGGUGAUUUAGUGGUAGCACGCAUUCCCAGUAUGGAUGAAACCCGGGUUCAACUCUCGUCUGAGGUG